rnacentral:tRNA from 1 species
GAGGGUAUAGCUUAAGUGGUAGAGUGCGUGCUUAGCAUGCAUAAGGUCUUAGGUUCAAUCCCCAGUACUUUCU